AACGAACGCUGGCGGCAUGCCUAACACAUGCAAGUCGAACGAGACCUUCGGGUCUAGUGGCGCACGGGUGCGUAACGCGUGGGAACCUGCCCUUAGGUUCGGAAUAACUCCCCGAAAGGGGUGCUAAUACCGGAUAAUGUCUUCGGACCAAAGAUUUAUCGCCUUUGGUUGGGCCCGCGUUGGAUUAGCUAGUUGUUAGGGUAAAAGCCUACCAAGGCGACGAUCCAUAGCUGGUCUGAGAGGAUGAUCAGCCACACUGGGACUGAGACACGGCCCAGACUCCUACGGGAGGGAGCAGUGGGGAAUAUUGGACAAUGGGCGAAAGCCUGAUCCAGCAAUGCCGCGUGAGUGAUGAAGGCCUUAGGGUUGUAAAGCUCUUUUACCCGGGAUGAUAAUGACAGUACCGGGAGAAUAAGCUCCGGCUAACUACGUG
rnacentral:rRNA from 1 species